GGGGGUGUAGCUCAGCUGGUUAGAGCGCUGGCCUGUCACGCCAGAGGUCGCGGGUUCGAGCCCCGUCACUCCCGCCA
rnacentral:tRNA from 4 species